rnacentral:rRNA from 1 species
GACGAACGCUGGCGGCGUGCCUAAUACAUGCAAGUCGAGCGAACUUUUAAAAGCUUGCUUUUAAAAGUUAGCGGCGGACGGGUGAGUAACACGUGGGCAACCUACCUGUAAGACUGGGAUAACUUCGGGAAACCGGAGCUAAUACCGGAUAAUUCUUUUCUACACAUGUAGAAAAGCUGAAAGACGGUUUCGGCUGUCACUUACAGAUGGGCCCGCGGCGCAUUAGCUAGUUGGUGAGGUAAUGGCUCACCAAGGCAACGAUGCGUAGCCGACCGGGGGGGGUGAUCGGCCACACUGGGACUGAGACACGGCCCAGACUCCUACGGGAGGCAGCAGUAGGGAAUCUUCCGCAAUGGACGAAAGUCUGACGGGGCAACGCCGCGUGAGUGAUGAAGGUUUUCGGAUCGUAAAACUCUGUUGUUAGGGAAGAACAAGUAUGAGAGUAACUGCUCGUACCUUGACGGUACCUAACCAGAAAGCCACGGCUAACUACGUGCCAGCAGCCGCCGUAACAC